GCUCGUGUAGCUCAGUGGUAGAGCGUCGGCGUGACAAGCCGAAGGUGGAAGGUUCGAUUCCUUCCACGGGCA
rnacentral:tRNA from 1 species